rnacentral:rRNA from 1 species
UCGAGGAUCAUUCGCAAUGAGCGAAAGCUUGACGAUGCGACGCUGUGUGAACGAUGAAGGCCUUCGGGUUGUAAAGUUCUUUCGCUUGGGAACAAGAGAUUAUAGUGAACAACUAUGAAAUUUGAGGGUACCAGGUAAAGAAGCACCGGCUAACUCCGUGCCAGCAGCUGCGGUAAUACGGAGGGUGCAAGCAUUAAUCGGAUUUAUUGGGCGUAAAGGGCGCGUAGGCGGUUUUGUAAGUCAGAUGUGAAAUACCAAAGCUCAACUUUGGUGCUGCAUUUGAAACUGCAAGACUAGAGGGAUGGCGGAGAAAACGGAAUUCCACGUGUAGCGGUGAAAUGCGUAGAUAUGUGGAAGAACACCUGUGGCGAAAGCGGUUUUCUAGCUAUUACCUGACGCUGAGGCGCGAGAGCAAGGGGAGCAAACAGG